rnacentral:rRNA from 1 species
CAGCGGAAUCGGUUUGGCCGGAGAAGCUGUGUUGGCGCUGGCAAAGCUGCGACACUUGUCGCGGCCCGGUGCAUGUGAAACGACCCGUGAAAAUUGAGGUGAGCACAACGCAAGUAGACUUUGCGCUCGGCCGUACUGAUAACCGCAUCAGGUCUCCAAGGUGAGCAGCCUCUAGUCGAUAGAAG